CCGCGGGCUGCACGCCCGACAGCGGCCGAGGGGCACCGCGGGCAGCGGGGAGGGGAGCGGUGCCGACCCUGCGGGACUGCGCGUCCAUCGGCACGGUGCGGAGCGAACGGUCGCGUCUGUCGUCCGGCUCCGGCCUCCGCGCCUCUCCUGUCAGCCUUCAGCAAACCUGUCUCUCAGACCUGAGGGCUUCAGGGAAGGACUCCGGCUGUCAGUACGGUGCCUGGCGGCCCGCCUUAAUGCGAGCACAUUAUCAGCUUCUGAUGUCCAAUGAUUAUACUGCCAACUGUCUACAAGACAGGAAAUGGGUGAAACAGAAGAAGUGGCAGUGAAAGAAAACCUGAUGCCCCAUCAAAGACAAAUAUGUCAAAUGUAGAAGAAAGUGUGAAGUACUCCUAUAGAAAAGAAUCCGUCAGAAGUAAAUCUACAGCUGGUGAGGGUGUUGAGUAAGGGAAGGAAGGGGAGAAAAAAUGAGAGGAGUUCAUGAAAAAGUAUCCCAAAAUAACUGGAAGAAAAGGACUAAGAUUGCUUUUACUGUGAAGAAGAGGCACAGUCAAAUACUUAACUUGAUUUUUUAAAGAAGAUCACGUCAGUGUUCUUGCUACUUACAAAAAAAAAAAAAAAAGUCCACAAUUAUUAACAACUUACACUGAAGAUAUAUUUCUGCAAAGAUUUCCUUUGCAGAAACUGUGAAUUCAGUCAGAUCACAUCUAAGCUUUCAGCAUGAGUAGUCCCAAUGAAAUGAGCAAGAAGAGUUAUGAAUUAAAAUGAAGAAAUUAAUUAGUUUUUAAGCACAAGUCUUAGUUGUCUCUGAUUCAUUCUUACUCUGACUGUUAAAACCCAUAUAUUUAUAUGCAGCAUAUACAAAAAGAGGCGUUGUCUGUAAGCCUAGUGAAGCUCUACUUAGUCUAAAAACGUAAUGCUAACAAUAUUAUUCCUCUAUAUUUCUAGUAAUAUUAUUUAGGUAAAUACUAUGAACAAGUCUUCUUGAAAACAAUGCCAAAAUAAUUUAUGAUCAUUAUUGAAAAUAUUCAGAACUGUCUUUGUGAGAAAAGAGGUUGGGACCUCUUUAACCCACUAAUGAUGUAAACAUGUGAGCUCUCACAGUGGUUAUUUUCUUCUCUUUUCCUUCUCUGAUAUACUAAACAUGCAGCAAGACAAGGUUAUAUGCUAAAAGUGAGAUAAAGAAAACCUCUCUCUUGAGGAAGUCCUCUAACUGAGCUAAGAGGUAUUCCAUAUUACUUCAGAAUCACAAAACUAAUGAAACAUCAAAUGUUAAAAAAAAAAAAAAAAUGUAGUUUGGGGACUGUUUUUCAAUCUUGUACCUAACUCUUUUCUCUUUCCUCUCCUUGCUCAGUUCUGGUUUUCCUUUUCUCUGAAGUGAUUUCCAGGCUGCCAGCAACAAAGUAAUCCAUUUUACAAAACCUAUUGGAGCCUGUAUGGGAACUGUUGAGUCACUGCCUGAACCACUGACAGAGCACCUGGGAAAAGGACCCAGUCAGCCCUGGGCGCACAAGUGAAGGCAAUUCACCUGUGAAAUAGGAAGGGGUGGAGUCUGGCU
ensembl:lncRNA